UGCCGAAACGCCCAUGGGCGUCGUCGCGAGGUGGUUCUCGCGGCCUGACGAUGGCAGCCAACC
rnacentral:hammerhead_ribozyme from 1 species